GGCAGUUGUGGAUUGUUUGUCCAGAGAUGUGUUAAGAUGAGCUCUGCAUGGAGAGUCCCAAUGCUUACAUUUUGGCUCAUUUCACCAAUAAUUCCAGCAUCAGCUCCAGGUUUGGGGGAUGAUUACAUUCAGCAGGAUGUGAGCCACCAGCAAGGAGGAUAUCACACAGCCCAGAGUGACUUCAGACUCACUAUGCAGCUGAGGAUGACAGUGAGCUCCCACCCGUCCUGUUCCUCCCCGUGUGUACUGACAGCAGACAGGGCCAUCACAGCAGGUUUAUGCAAUGCUGGGGACGGAACCCUGGAUUCCAUGCAUGCUAAGCCAGCACACUACCAAACGAGCUACAUCUCCAGUCCCUCUUUCUUCUCUUAGCAACUAAGUAAUAAAAAAUAAAACAUGUUUUAAAUGCAUAUAUAUAUAUAUAUAUAUAUAUAUAUAUAUCACAAAGUUGUUUAGUUUGUUUUUUAACACUUAAAUGUAUCACUAACAAAACAGUUACAUGCGACAGCAUCAUAUAUCCUGUAUAAGUUUUAUAAUGUACAGAUUUAC
rnacentral:lncRNA from 1 species